GCCGCGGCGAUAGCUCAGUGGAUAAAGCGCCAGGUGAGUACAUGGCGAUUAUCCGCGCGGGUUCGAAUCCCGCCUGUGGCA